ACUAUUGUGACUGGUGACGAAACGUGGUAUUUCUAAUAUGAUCCCGAAACGAAACGCCAAAGAGCUGUGUGGAAAGCACCAGAAAAGCCGAAACCCCAAAAAUUGCCCACGGAGAAGUUAAAAUUCAAGACAAAGCUGAUUUGUUGUUAUGAUUCCAAGGGUAUUGCCCACAAAAAAUUUGUUCCACCCGGCCAAAACGUUAUUGCGCAAUAGAUUUGACGGAGAUGCUUCGAAGCUGACUCUAACCCUUACUACGAUAAUUCAUGUGUGAAAUUUACGGAAUAUCUAAAGCUUACAAAAUGUGUUUGAAAACUUUUCGUGAAUUCAGUGCAAAUUUGUAUUACAAUAGAAAACACUGGAUGUGCAAAAAAAGGAAAUCUGCAUUAGAAUUCUGCGAAAAGUGCACUUUAAACUUUAAUAACAGCAAGUCAGUUUUAGACAAUAUCAUUCUAUUCUUUUUUAAUAGACAAACUUUAUGUAUCGUGUAAAAACAUUAUAAUGCGUAAUUAAGUUUGUACAGCCGGCAUUAACAAAAAAUAUUAAGGAUAGUUGUUAAAUAGUGUUAACAAAAGCUAAAUAUGAUAUACAUAAGAGACGGGCAGUGUUAUUAAUCAGUGCUGAAGGGAAAUAUUACAUGAAUAACAAAUCAUGAAUUUCAAAAGAUUGCACUAUUACUGCUUCGUGAAAGUACGGCGUAUUACACUGAAAAACCACAUAUUUCACCAACAAAUUUCUAGC